UACAGAGGGGGCGAGCGUUGUUCGGAAUUACUGGGCGUAAAGGGCGCGUAGGCGGCCCGCUAAGUCGAACGUGAAAUCCCCAGGCUCAACCUGGGAACUGCGUCCGAUACUGGCAGGCUUGAAUCCGGGAGAGGGAUGUGGAAUUCCAGGUGUAGCGGUGAAAUGCGUAGAUAUCUGGAGGAACACCGGUGGCGAAGGCGGCAUCCUGGACCGGUAUUGACGCCGAGGCGCGAAAGCCAGGGGAGCAAACGGG
rnacentral:rRNA from 1 species